UGAAGGGAGCACAUCUCUGUGUAUCUCGCUCUGUGCCCCAUCGUUUGGCUCAGGCGGGUGAGAAAACUACCCUCCCCAGAAUCAUGACAGGAAAUGAUGCAGUAUGCUUGAUCAAGAAGGCUGUCGUUCCCGGCUCAGAGGCAGACGUCCAGCGCAUUUUGCCUGUGAAGUCUCUUGGCAGGCAGCUGCCUCUCCUGAGCCGUAAAGAAGGACACUGUGAUUCCAUCUGAAUGUCAGCCAUGAAAGUCCUUUACUGCCUUUCUGUUGUGAUCUUCUUACUUCAGGCUGUUCAAGAGGGCAGCCUGGUGGAAGCGAUGCUGCUGACGUGUGUCUCCCUGGGUGGCGUCUGCAUCCUGCAGCCGAAUCAGAUGUGUCCUUCGGAUCUCAUCCUGGAUGUGCCUUGCCGUUUUGGCAGAAAAUGCUGCUCCAAGGGAGAGAUUUAACCUGCACCCUUUUGGAUUGUAUCUGUUUAUGAAUGGAGGACUCGGAACAUCUCCCUGGGGAUGUUUCAAACAGAAAUUCAUUCAAUUCCAUCGAUUUUUCCGAAUCUGGCGCACUGAGAUGUUUUUUUGCUGAGAGACACCAAACUGGACUGAGAUUUCCUCGGGUUUCCACGAGAGUGAGACGCUGUCCAUGUUUGGUACCUCAAAUCUACCACUGAAACGGGCCACCCUGCUACAUGGUCGGAAACUACUGUUUCCACCCCCUCUUGGCCCCCCCAAAGAAGAUGCUGGGAUACCAGAUGGGGAUUCUUGUGGCCAAAUCCAGCCCGCGGAAUGGAGGUUGUUAACCACUCGUUCAGAAAACACUGAACAGCCCUAUUCUCAUUUCUUAGCCUGUAUAAUUCACUCGAUUGGAUUCCCAUCCCAUAAUGUGAGAAGAAACAGGAGAAGGGCUUUAUAAUGGAAAGUUGGAUGACGUUUAACCUCAUAAGAGCUGGGAUUCUACCAGGAAAAAGAGCACAGUUAUGGCUACGCAUACUGAGAAGAUUCAAGGACUUGUAAUCCAGAAAACCUUUUUUUUUCCUAAGAAGGGAGACCAAUAUUUUCAGAAACCAGCAAAGUUGGAUUGCUGGGGAUCAAGAACGCUGAACACCUUUUCUUCCGGGAAUAGAUAUAAAUGAAGUCUUAAAAAAUGAAACAAAACCCUUGUUUUUCAUUGUAAAGUUUUGAUAGCCUAUUUUAUAAAGAUUACAUUUUCUUCUAAAAGAGAAUAGAGGAAGGCAACACCUUUUGUGCUGGAAUGAAGAAGGGAUUAUUAAA